CACGUAGGGGGCGAGCGUUGUCCGGAUUUAUUGGGCGUAAAGAGCUCGUAGGCGGCUCGGUAAGUCAGGUGUGAAACCUCCAGGCUCAACCUGGAGACGCCACCUGAUACUGCCGUGGCUAGAGUCCGGUAGGGGAGCGUGGAAUUCCUGGUGUAGCGGUGAAAUGCGCAGAUAUCAGGAGGAACACCAGCGGCGAAGGCGGCGCUCUGGGCCGGAACUGACGCUGAGGAGCGAAAGCGUGGGGAGCAAACAGG
rnacentral:rRNA from 1 species